rnacentral:rRNA from 1 species
UACGUAGGGUGCAAGCGUUGUCCGGAAUUAUUGGGCGUAAAGAGCUCGUAGGUGGCCUGUCGCGUCGGCUGUGAAAACUCGGGGGCUCAACUCCGAGCUUGCAGUCGAUACGGGCAGGCUAGAGUUCGGCAGGGGAGACUGGAAUUCCCGGUGUAGCGGUGGAAUGCGCAGAUAUCGGGAGGAACACCCGUGGCGAAGGCGGCACUCUGGGACGGUACUGACGCUGAGACGCGAAAGCGUGGGGAGCAAACAGGG